UCCUCUGCUCCGGCUCAGGAGGCUGAAGAACAAAACAUCUGCUGAGCUCACGAGUAGGAGGCCUUUCCAUUCAGAGAGCUGCCCGAAUCCUUCCAAAGCGUUAUGGGAUCUCUUCCUGAUGAGGGAAGGUACAGUCCAGUGAAUGAUGGAGACCCUGAGGCUCUGAGGCCGAACCAUCGAAGUAGACUGCACCCCUUCGGCCACAGGGAAUCGGGGACUCCCUGGGCAAAGCAGACAUCGACCUCGAAGGAGUAAGUGUGCAGCGGAGCCCAGCGAUAGAUGAACUGGAGAGCAGCGUUCUGCAGAGACCUUCCUGUCAGUCCAUUAGGGGAAGUGGGACAACUCUGCUUUCAGAUCAGAAGGGGGUCGGGGGCCGUGCAGGAGCCUCAGCUCCAGGAGAGCCUCCUUUGCCGGGCUUCGAGAAAGAAAGAUGAACAAACGGGGGCGAGGAAAGAAGAGGGACUACCUCAGGGAGAGGAUCUGAAAGGAAGUGAUUCACAAACUAGAGAAAGUGAAACUGAAGCGUAACCCCCACCCAAGCGGAAAGAGGCGAGCCUCUGGGACACAGGGAAGGCGGCGCAGCUUUCUCAGGCACCUGUCCUUGCCUCAGUCCUCCUCCGCAGCUCGCAUUUCGCUCUUUAGAAACGAAGAGCAAAUGAGACGAUGCACUGGUAUAAAUGAAGUCUGGAUUGUCAGGAAAUCCCCACUGUUCUGCACUAGAUAUUUCUCUGAGAUGAAGAACCAGAUGACUGAAGUCUCUUAAAGUCAAUUAAAAGUUUGCUCCCAAGGCUAGACAAGGGCUCCUGCAGCUGAGAAGAGGAGGGCAGCUUGGGUGUGAACUAAUGCAGUGACCUUUUCAUGGAACUGCACGUAAACUGCGGUGCUUGGGCUUAUGAACUCUGGUGGACUGACAGUUGAUGGUCAGCUUGCAACACACAACUGAACUGAAUCAGCAUGGUACUUGGGUAUGGAAGGCCCACCUGAGGAUUGUUACGAACAAAAUAAAAAGAA